rnacentral:lncRNA from 1 species
UGUAGGUUGGGUUGGAGGAAAGAUUACACGACUCAAGCAGUUUGGUUAGAGCCUCCCUUUUCCUUACUUGUUCAGGAUGACUCUCACUGACCCCUGGUUCAGCUGGAUUUUUCUUCUCCUCCUGGCCUGCUUACAGGACCAGCCGGUUUCAGCUGACUUCAAGGAAAAAACACCUAUCAGACCCAAGUGGCCAGGCAAGAAAGCCAGCCCUGUGACUCUCAGGAAUUACUGGAGGUCCAUGAGGCGCUUUUUGGAUUACCAAGAGAGGUUCUUAAGGAGAAGGCCAAAGAGAUUGGUGAUCCAGCACUCCAAAGACCUGACCUCUCCUUUACUCCCUAAUUUAUGGAUUCCAGAAAGACCUCACCCCAUCAAACCUCUGAUGUCCAUUCUUUCCCCUGAUAAAAAGUUCAAUCAUGGAAGCAAGUGGAUCUCUGGAUUGUCUCCCUCUCUCCCUACACGGUAGCUGUUUUCAUGUGCUCUCCUCCAUCAGACUGUGAGCUACUAGAGAUCAAGGACUUGGUAUCCCUGCUGCUUGGUACAACAACUGGCGCACAGUAGAAGGUUAAUAAAUGUUUGUUUACUAACCAAAAGCCCAGAGAGUUGCAGUGUCUUGCUGAAGGUCAUACAAAUUUCAGGAGGCUGAGUUUGUACAUACUCUCUGUACUCUUUCCC